CCUACGGGAGACAGCAGUGAGGAAUAUUGGUCAAUGGUCGGGAGACUGAACCAGCCAAGCCGCGUGAGGGAUGAAGGUACAGAGUAUCGUAAACCUCUUUUGUCAGGGAACAAAGGCGGGGACGUGUCCCCGGAUGAGUGUACCUGAAGAAAAAGCAUCGGCUAACUACGUGCCAGCAGCCGCGGUAAUACGUAGGGGGCAAGCGUUAUCCGGAUUUACUGGGUGUAAAGGGAGUGUAGACGGCGAUGCAAGUCUGAAGUGAAAGGCGGGGGCCCAACCCCCGGACUGCUUUGGAAACUGUGGAGCUUGAGUGCGGGAGAGGUAAGUGGAAUUCCUAGUGUAGCGGUGAAAUGCGUAGAUAUUAGGAGGAACACCAGUGGCGAAGGCGGCUUACUGGACUGUAACUGACGUUGAGGCUCGAAAGCGUGGGGAGCAAACAGGAUUAGAUACCCCAGUAGUC
rnacentral:rRNA from 1 species